GACGUAGGGUGCGAGCGUUGUCCGGAUUUAUUGGGCGUAAAGAGCUCGUAGGCGGCUUGUCGCGUCGACCGUGAAAACUUGGGGCUCAACCCCAAGCCUGCGGUCGAUACGGGCAGGCUAGAGUUCGGUAGGGGAGACUGGAAUUCCUGGUGUAGCGGUGAAAUGCGCAGAUAUCAGGAGGAACACCGGUGGCGAAGGCGGAUCUCUGGGCCGUAACUGACGCUGAGGAGCGAAAGCAUGGGGAGCGAACAGG
rnacentral:rRNA from 1 species